rnacentral:rRNA from 1 species
GAUGAACGCUAGCUACAGGCUUAACACAUGCAAGUCGCGGGGCAGCAUGGGGGUUGCUUGCAAUCCCCGAUGGCGACCGGCGCACGGGUGAGUAACGCGUAUUCAACCUGCCCUUCACCACGGGAUAACCCGGCGAAAGUCGGACUAAUACCGUAUGUUGUCCAUUGACGGCAUCCGAUUUGGACGAAAGGCUUGGCGGUGAGGGAUGGGGAUGCGUCCGAUUAGCCAGACGGCGGGGUAACGGCCCACCGUGGCUACGAUCGGUAGGGGUUCUGAGAGGAAGGUCCCCCACACUGGAACUGAGACACGGUCCAGACGCCUACGGGAGGCAGCAGUGAGGAAUAUUGGUCAAUGGGCGUAAGCCUGAACCAGCCAAGUAGCGUGCAGGAGGACGGCCCUAUGGGUUGUAAACUGCUUUUAUGCGGGGAUAAAGUGGCCCACGUGUGGGCUUUUGCAGGUACCGCAUGAAUAAGGACCGGCUAAUUCCGUG